rnacentral:rRNA from 1 species
AGUGAACGCUGGCGGUAGGCCUAACACAUGCAAGUCGAACGGCAGCACAGUAAGAUCUUGCUCUUACGGGUGGCGAGUGGCGGACGGGUGAGGAAUACAUCGGAAUCUACUUUUUCGUGGGGGAUAACGUAGGGAAACUUACGCUAAUACCGCAUACGACCUACGGGUGAAAGCAGGGGAUCUUCGGACCUUGGGCGAUUGAAUGAGCCGAUGUCGGAUUAGCUAGUUGGCGUGGUAAAGGCCCACCAAGGCGACGAUCCGUAGCUGGUCUGAGAGGAUGAUCAGCCACACUGGAACUGAGACACGGUCCAGACUCCUACGGGAGGCAGCAGUGGGGAAUAUUGGACAAUGGGCGCAAGCCUGAUCCAGCCAUACCGCGUGGGUGAAGAAGGCCUUCGGGUUGUAAAGCCCUUUUGUUAGGAAAGAAAAGCAGCAGGUUAAUACCCCGCUGUUCUGACGGUACCCAAAGAAUAAGCACCGGCUAACUUCGUG